UGAGGAACAUGACCUUCGGCGGGGGAUAGCCGGCCCAACGGCCGGGUAAUACCGCGUACGACCACAUGGGGACAUCCCUGAGUGGUGAAAGCAGCAAUGCGCCGAUGGAGUGCCUCGCGGCCCAUCAGCUAGUUGGUGAGGUAACGGCUCACCAAGGCGACGACGGGUAGCUGGUCUGAGAGGAUGGCCAGCCACAUUGGGACUGAGACACGGCCCAGACCUCUACGGGGAGG
rnacentral:rRNA from 1 species